CUCAGCCCGUGGGCCUGGGCGGUGGAGAAGGUGCAGGAGCUCUGCAAGCCUGGCUCCCAGCGCAGAGGACCGGAUGGAGGAAGGCUGAGGGCCCGGCACUCCGGCCACAGGUGAGGCUUCAGCAGGAAAGCCUGCGCCCAAUGGCAACUUUCUCUCUCGGUGCUCAACCUCGGCUCUUUGCUGGCUUCCACUUUCUCCUCUAGAACAAUAGGGGAGAAAAACUACCCCCAAACGAUCACACGGGCACUUAGCUUUGCUUCUUGGGGGGGGGGGGGGGGGUGAAAGUUGAGGGCUCAGUGUGCGAGUUUGGAAAGUGGGGCCAGAUUCACCCCGGAAGGAGGCUAAGAAUGGAAAGUGAGCCCCUGAGGCAGGCGGCGCGGCAGGAGGCACCGCCCCCCGCGGCUGCUCCGGGACCAGGUGUGCGCAGGAAGGCGCGUCCCGGCGGCUGCGCAUCGCCUGUCGUGGCUCAGCUCCGGAGGACUGAGGACGCCCCUCUGGCUCACGCCCGGGACCCGCGAGGACACCGUGACCCACCUUGGUGCCUGGACACACAAGCACCACCCUAGCCCUUAGGCAGCCGGACGGCCCCUCUCCUGAAUGCCCAAGCCGGACCCACGCCCACCUCCACAGCACAACUCCCUCUUCCUCCUCCCCAGACUCCGAAGGGGUCUCCCCUAAGGCCAAGUCCAGGUAAGGACCCCCCGCCCGGGUAAGAUCCCUUCUGGCUCCACUCCCGGGGAGGGCACCUCUUCCCUAGAUUCUAGACCCCAGAGAGGCUGCAGCCGCUCCCUGGGGUCGGAACUCUCCCUCCCGGCUCUCGGGGUACCAGGGUAGCCCUCUAUGCGUGUCCCCUCCUGGUAAGACAAGCUCCCGUGUCCCGCUUGCACACCACCCCGCGCGGGGUCAGGGGACCCUUCCCCACGCCCCACCCCUCAAGCCAGGUCCGCGGAGCGGCGGGGAUCCCUCCCCAGGAGGUCCCUGGGGUCCCCGCGCCGUCCGGAGCCCCGAGCUCGCCCCCACGAGCCUUCCGCGCGGGGUCGCGAGCCUCGGGGGCCGCGGGACGCUCACCUGCCG
rnacentral:lncRNA from 1 species